AGAAAGGCCCUGUUCGGUCACUUGCAAUCAGACUAGACCUUGUGGUUGCUACAGUGACUGACCUGACAGGGUAUCGGGUGUGGGGACCUCUGGGAAGAAGACUGAGAGCCUGGAGGUCCAAUAGUGGUUGUCGAGGAACCAACCAUGACUUGGUUUCAGAGUCCACUGGUUUGGAGCAGAAAGGAAAAUUAUGGCACCAGCUGGGAGCUGCAAAUGCCCUUGGGGGUUCCAGUUGCUGCUGGAGUCCUAGCCCUUCUGGCCCUCUUGGCAUUGGCUUGUUAUUUUCUCAGAGAGGCCUGGAAGUGCAGAUGGAAACUUUGCCAUGAGGGCUGGACAUGUUCUCCAACUGGAAAGAGCCUACAGCUUGUCUUCGUCCACUGCCCAGAUCAGGGCCGGCUGGGGACCCUCUCUUCAGAGCCCCAUGGCGCUCCACUGCCUUCUCCACUGUCCUUCUGAAGGCCCAGGACAGCUCCUCAGCCUUGGGUCUGGAGUCCCCCAUGUUCCAGAGGAGGUGGCUGUGUCUGCCAGGCCCCCUGCACCUGUAACAGCUGUUAGUGUGGAUAAAGGGUUGAAUCCAUGUGAUAAUGUGGGGCGAGGGGUG
rnacentral:lncRNA from 1 species